GAUGAACGCUGGCGGCGUGCCUAAUACAUGCAAGUCGAGCGAACAGAUGAGGAGCUUGCUCCUCUGACGUUAGCGGCGGACGGGUGAGUAACACGUGGAUAACCUACCUAUAAGACUGGGAUAACUACGGGAAACCGGAGCUAAUACCGGAUAAUAUAUUGAACCGCAUGGUUCAAUAGUGAAAGACGGUUUUGCUGUCACUUAUAGAUGUAUCCGCGCCGCAUUAGCUAGUUGGUAAGGUAACGGCUUACCAAGGCAACGAUGCGUAGCCGACCUGAGAGGGUGGUCGGCCACGCUGGAACUGAGACACGGUCCAGACUCCUACGGGAGGCAGCAGUAGGGAAUCUUCCGCGAUGGGCGGAAGCCUGACGGAGCAACGCCGCGUGAGUGAUGAAGGUCUUCGGAUCGUAAAACUCUGUUAUUAGGGAAGAACAAAUGUGUAAGUAACUAUGCACGUCUUGACGGUACCUAAUCAGAAAGCCACGGCUAACUACGUG
rnacentral:rRNA from 1 species